UAUUGUUUCUUUAUUGCCGACCUAUCUUCUAUUGUGCCGCCAUUUAGACUGUGUUGGUGUUCUUAAAAUCAUUAGGUAAGUAUAAUUCGUUAGUUUCGUUUUAGGAUGGUUGUCUUGAUAUCAUUGGAAGGUCUUUUGCUUUCAUUAGUUGUGAUUUUGCUAGGGAGGUUCAUAAGGCGUUUAAUCUUUUGGCGAAUGAGGAUUUUAGCAAUUUCUCCAAAUUUUUUAUUUUCUUCUCUUUCCACUACUUCAAUUUCUUUUUCUCAUUCUCGGUUCCUCUAAUGUUAUUUUUUCUUCUUCUUUCUUCUAGUUUCGUUUUCUUUUGUUUCUUUUACAUUUGUUUCCAUAUUCUCCUAUUGACGUCUCUUACUAUUGUCUCUUCAUUACCGACCUAUAUUCUGUUGUGUUGCCAUUUAGACUGCGUCAGUGUUAUUAAAAUCUUCAGGUAAGUAUAAUUAGUUAGUUUCAUUUUAGAGUAGUUGUCUUGAUAUCUUUGGAAGGUCUUUUGGUUUCAUUAGUGUUGAUUUUGCUAAGGGUGGUUCGUGAGGCGUUUAAUUUUCUGGCAAGUGAGGAUUUUAGCAAUUUUCGCAAAUUUUUUAUGUUCUUCUCUUUCCACUACUUCCAUUUCUUUUUCCCAUUUUCUUUUCCUCUAACGUUAUUUUCUUCUUCUUCUUUCUUUCUGUUUCAUUUUUCUUUUAUUUCUUUUAAAUUUGUUGUCAUAUUCCUUUGUUGUCGUCUCUUGCUAUUGUUUCUUCAUUGCCGACUUAUCUUCUUUUGUGCCACCAUUUAGACUGCGUUGGUGUUAUUAUUAAAAUUUUCAGGUAAGUAUAAUUCAUUAGUUUCGUUUUAGGGUGGUUGUUUUUAAAUCUUUGGAAGGUAUUUUGCUUUCUUUAGUUGUGAUUUUGCUAGGGGUGGUUCAUGAGGCUUUUACUCUUUGGCGAGUGAGUAUUUCAGCAAUUUCCCCAAAUCUUUUACGUUCCUCUGUUUCCACUACUUCCAUUUCUUUUUCCCAUUUUUUGUUCCUCUGACUUUAUUUUCUUCUUCUUUAUUUAUGUUAUGUUUUCUUUUGUUUCUUUUACAUUUGUUGCCAUAUUCCCCUAUUGUCGUCUCUUGCUACUGUUUCUUUAUUGCCGACCUAUCUUCUGUUGUGCCACCAUUUAGACUGUGUUGGUGUUAUUAAAAUCUUCAGGUAAGUAUAAUUCGUUACUUUUCUUUUAUGGUGGUUGUCUUGAUAUCUUUGGAAGGUCUUUUGGUUUCAUUAGUGUUGAUUUUGCUAGGGGUGGUUCGUGAGGCGUUUACUUUUCUAGUGAGUUAGGAUUUUAGCAAUUUUCCCAAAUUUUUUAUGUUCCUCUCUUUCCACUAAUUCCAUUUCUUUUUCCCAGUUUCGGUUCCUCUAACGUUAUUUUCUUCUUCUUCUUUUUUUCUGUUUUGUUUUCUUUCGUUUCUUUUACAUUUGUUGCCAUAUUCUCCUGUUGUCGUUUCUUGCUACUGUUUCUUCGUUGCCGACCUAUCUUCUGUUGUGCUGCUAUUUAGACUGCAUUGGUGUUAUUAAAAUCUUCUGGUAAGUAUAAUUCGCUAGUUUUCUUUUAGGGUGGUUGUCUUGAUAUCUUCUAUUGUGCGGCCAUUUAGACUGUGUUGGUGUUCUUAAAAUUAUUAGGUAAGUAUAAUUCGUUAGUACUCUUUUAGGGUGGUUGUCUUAAUAUCUUUGAAAGGUCUUUUCCUUUCAUUAGUUGUAAUUUUGCUAGGGGUGGUUCGUGAGGUGUUUACUCUUCUAGCGAGUGAGGAUUUUAGCAAUUUCCCCAAAUUUUUUAUGUUCUUCUCUUUCCACUACUUCCAUUUCUUUUUACCAUUUUAUGUUCCUCUAACGUUAUCUUCUUCUUCUUCUUCCUUUCUGUUUUAUUUUUCUUUCGUUUCUUUUACAUUUUUUGCCAUAUUCCCCUAUUGUCGUCUCUUACUAUUGUUGCUUCAUUGCCGACCUGCCUUUUGUUCUGUUGCCAUUUAGACUACGUUGGUGUUAUUAAAAUAUUCAUUUUAAGGUGGUUAUCUUAAUAUCUUUGGAAGGUCUUUUGGUUUCAUUAGUUGUGAUUUUUCUAGGUUGGUUCGUGAGGCGUUUACUCUUCUAGCGAGUAAGGAUUUUAGAAUUUCCCCAAAAUUUUUAUGUUCCUCUCUUUCCACUACUUUCAUUUCCUUUUCCCAUUUUUUGUUCCUCUAACGUUAUUUUUUUUCUUCUUUCUUUCUGUUUUAUUUUCUUCUGUUUUUUUACAUUUGUUGCCAUAUUCCCCUAUUAUCGUCUCUUGCUACUGUUUCUUCGUUACCGACCUAUUUUCUAUUGUGCCGCCAUGUAGACUGGGUUGGUGCUAUUAAAAUCUUCAGGGUUUGGGAGUGUGUCGUAUCAACGUUUUUCAGAAAGAAUCCAAGUGUGACUCGAUUUCGUAAAAAUAGCGAACGGUAAAAAGUCGAAAAACUCAUUGUCUAGGCUAUUUGGCAGGCCGUAUGGCAAACUAUGUGAAACACAAUGGCCGUGUUCCAAGUCAUGUUCCAGACCGUCUGGACCACACAACCUAGGCUAUUUGGGUUGUGUGAGCCACACAGGUUAGACCUUUUGGGGCGUGUGGGCCCAUUUUUUAGAAAUUUCAUUUAGGGACAUAUUUAUCUGUGAUGCGUAUUUGGCCCUUUCGGGUCCAUAUUGCAUAAAUAGGACUUGUAAACAUGAUAUCUAUUAGUGUGAUGUUGUAAGUAAUGUAGAAAAGGUAUGUGAUUUUUAUAUGCAUGAUUUGUAUACUGAUAAUUUUGAUAGCAUGUUUCUCUUUUGCCAUGUUUGUAUAUGAGCAUAUGGUGUCUGAUUAUGUUAAUUUUUAUAUUUUUGAAUUUAUUAUGUGAACAUGCAUGUAACAUUAUGGCAAAACUAAUUGGCUUUUGUUAAAAUUGUGACACAUUUGUUUUGCAAAGUAUGGAAUUCCAUGCCUUCUGCUUUCUGUUAUUGUACAAUUGCAUGUCUUACAUGCUUUUCAUUCAAAUUCUAUAUUUGCAUUCUAUGACACUUUGCAUGAGGUUGGGAUAAUAUGGUAAGGAGGAAGUUCGAGCAGUUUAAUGAUCUGCACUCUCUAGUGGAUUAUCCACAAUCCUGUAUAGCAGCUUGUUUGCAAUUAUUGUGGCUUGACCAUACAUAUCUGUCCUAGCAGCUUGGCUACAAUAUAGUGGUGUGACCACAUAUAUCUAAUCUGGCAGUUUAACUGCAACUCUGGUGGCAUAGUCCACAUUUAUCUGUUCGUGCGUUUUGAAUGGACGAGUUCUGGGGAACUCCAAUUUGGUGUGUAACGGAGUUGGGUAGGAAGUUUUCUGAAAAAUCUGCAUUUUGAUUUCUAAAAGUAUUGCAUUGACAUAAUCAUGCAUGCAGGAUUUUUCCAUGUGAGUUUGAUGAGAUUCUCUGUAAUUUUUUAUUGGUUAUUAUGUUAUUUGUGUUUUUGCUUGGGUUUAGUUACAUACUGAGCGUGUUAGCUCACUCCUCUGUAUUUGACUUUUUUAGAUAUUCAGCAAAUUUAGGAUCAGACGGCGUGCGGGAGCUUUAAUUUUUUCUCAGUUAAUUUAAUAUGAUGGUUUACAUUUUAACUUU